rnacentral:rRNA from 1 species
GCAAGUCGAACGAGACCUUUUAGGUCUAGUGGCGCACGGGUGCGUAACGCGUGGGAACCUGCCCUUAGGUUCGGAAUAACUCAGAGAAAUUUGAGCUAAUACCGGAUAAUGUCUUCGGACCAAAGAUUUAUCGCCUUUGGAUGGGCCCGCGUAGGAUUAGGUAGUUGGUGGGGUAAUGGCCUACCAAGCCGACGAUCCUUAGCUGGUCUGAGAGGAUGAUC